AUUGAACGCUGGCGGCAGGCCUAACACAUGCAAGUCGAGCGAGCGGCGGACGGGUGAGUAAUGCCUGGGAAUUGCCCAGUCGAGGGGGAUAAUAGUUGGCAACGACUGCUAAUACCGCAUACGAUUGGAUUGCCUAGGUGGGAUUAGACAGUUGGUGAGGUAAUGGCUCUCCAAGGCGACGAUCCCUAGCUGGUCUGAGGGGAUGAUCAGCGACACUGGAACUGAGACACGGUCCAGACUCCUACGAGAGGCAGCAGUGGGGACUGUUGCACAAAGGGGACAACCCUGGUACAGCCAUGCCGCGUGUGUGAAGCAGGCCUUCAGGUUGUACAGCUCUUACAGCGAGGAGGCGUUACUCGCAGAAGAAGCACCGGCUAACUACGUGCCAGCAGCCGCGGUAAUAC
rnacentral:rRNA from 1 species